UACGGAGGGGGCUAGCGUUGUUCGGAAUUACUGGGCGUAAAGCGCACGUAGGCGGCUUGGUAAGUUAGAGGUGAAAGCCUGGAGCUCAACUCCAGAAUUGCCUUUAAGACUGCCGAGCUAGCAGGUGAGAGAGGUGAGUGGAAUUCCGAGUGUAGAGGUGAAAUUCGUAGAUAUUCGGAAGAACACCAGUGGCGAAGGCGACUCACUGGCUCAUACUGGACGCUGAGGUGCGAAAGCGUGGGGAGCAAACAGG
rnacentral:rRNA from 1 species